rnacentral:misc_RNA from 1 species
CUAAAGUGUUUAUGGCACUUUUUAAAAUCCAUAUCCACCUUGUGUGCAAUGUCAGUUGUUCCUUGCGAAUAACUAAACAUCAACCUAACUUAACCUAUAGUCUGAAAAAUAUUAUGAAUAACUAAUUCAAAAUA